UACAGAGGGUGCGAGCGUUGUUCGGAAUUAUUGGGCGUAAAGCGCUUGUAGGCGGCACGUCAAGUCGCGUGUGAAAUCCCCAGGCUUAACCUGGGAAGUACGCGCGAAACUGACGAGCUUGAGUGCCGGAGAGGGUCGCGGAAUUCCCGGUGUAGAGGUGAAAUUCGUAGAUAUCGGGAGGAACACCAGUGGCGAAGGCGGCGACCUGGACGGACACUGACGCUGAGACGCGAAAGCGUGGGGAGCAAACAGG
rnacentral:rRNA from 1 species